rnacentral:lncRNA from 1 species
UCUUCAAAUCGAGGUAUUCUUUUCCAUAUCUGCAUUAAUUUAUAGCAUUAAAAACAGUACUGGACCUGGAGCAAUGGCUCAGCAGUUAAGAGCUUACAGAAGACCCAGGUUUAGAUCCCAGCACCCACAUGGCAGCUCACCACCACCUGUAACUCCAGUUCCAGGGAAUCCAAUGCAUUCUUCUGACCUCCUCAGGCUCCUCAUAUAUACUUAGGUACAUGUGUAUGCACACAUGCAUACAAAUAAAAGGUUUUUGCCUCUUUUCCCCACUAGAGGUACUUUUUUUUUAAGACCAUGGGAGACCACAGAUGACAUUUUCACAGUUAUGACAGCUUCCUAAUAAAAUUCUUAAAUGACUGGUGAUUUGAAUAUGCUUGGCCCAGUGAGCGGCACUAUUAGGAAGUGUCAUUGUGGGUGUGAGUAUGAGCUUUAAGACCUCGUCCUAGUUGCCUUGAAGUUAGCCUUCUCUAGUAACCUUCAGAUGAAGAUUUAGAACUCAGCUCCUCCAGCACCAUGCCUAUCUGAAUGCUGCCGUGCUCUUGCCUUGAUGAUAAAGAACUGAACCUCUGAAUUUGUAAGUCAGCCCCAAUUAAAUGUCCUUAUGAGAGUUGCCUUGGUCAUGGUGUCUGUUCACAGCAAUGAAACCCUAAGACAAUGACUAAGAUGAUACAGGAUUUUAAAUAUAUCAAUGUAACUUAAUAUUACAUUGUGUAUUAUGUAAUUGAUUAGUAUUUAAUGUAAUUUUUUUUACAAUUUAUAAAUAAAUCUUUGUAACAGGACUAACAUCAGUAGAAAUCUGCAGAAUGUUGAUAAUAAACCCAAGUUGUUUUCAUUGUG